CAUAGACUGUGCUUUUAUUGAUCGACAGGCAGCACAAAAGAUACAGCAGGCACAAAUAACAGCACAGACGUUGACCUCCAGCGAAUGUCUCCUGUUCAGUCCACUCACUUCCUACUACCCGUUUUGGUAAAUACAUUUCUUAAUGUUGAACAUGUGUACAUUCUUAAGUUAAUCUCAGGACACCGAGUGGACUCAGCUCGACUUCUCGCAUCAUGUUGAUUCCAUUUAUAAAGUAGGCGUGUUGGCUUUGUUACACAACCGUAAAAGUGCAGGUAACCGGGCUAGUAAAGAACACUUUAAAAUAAGAUUAAUUAAUCUAGAGGAAACGUUAAUCUAAAUAUAGCGUUUAGUCCGGAGCAUUGGCCGUGUGCUGGCUUUCCUGUCAUUUUUCGGACACAUCCCCAGAGAGAAACCAGUGUAACAAUGUCACCGUGAAUCAAUGUCCAAUAGAAAAGGGAUGACUGAUAUUUAAAAGUCCAUUAAUGUUGAAUUUGAAGUUAAUAAAGGACAUUUACUGAAAUGCAUGAUGAUAUAUUUGGCUUUAUUGCAUACGUUAUUAUGUAGAUUUGUAUAGCUUCAUAUGUUAUAUCAUGAGUUAAUGUUUUUAUGAACGUAACUGCCAUAAAUGGUCACCACUCGUGUAAACCCUUGCCAACUUGCAGAGAGCAGUGCACCACUACUGAAUGGACACAAGGGGGUACUGUUUCCCAGGACGUCUCAUUCAAACAAGGCUGCUACGUACCAGUGAUCACAUGAAACAACGAAACGAUUAUAUUUAACCCGCCACCUUAAAAAGGUUUUAAAACAGUCUUCAGCGUUUAUUACUACCAGAUACUAGAGAUGGCUUGUCAUCGUCUCUCCCUGCUUUAGACCUCCUUGGCUGAUUGAGAUAAGAGUGCAAAGCUGGGUGAAAAACUGGGGUGGUGUCUUGACCCUGGGCAUAGAAGUAGAAUUACUAGGAUGGACAGAUCGAUUCAUUCUAUUUCUAUGACCUUGUCCACCUGGGUGACCAAACUAGCAAACGGAAAGGCCUGAGUGUCAGGAAAAACCCUGCAAAUCUUGUUGCGGACCAUUUCUACUAUACUUGUAAAAUCAGUACGUUACGACCAGGGGUUCAAUUGAGCUAGGUCCCAUAAUCCAAAUAAGAGCCCAGCAAAUCUGACUCCCACAACAGUGUUGAAUGGAUGUGGAGCGCUGGGUUUAUUAACAUGGUCAGGUGUAAAAGUUAGACUAUUAUUGGACUAAACCCUUGGCAGUGAAAGCCUUUUUUUUUUGUUGGGGGGAGGGGGACAUUCAAGCAAACAACAUGUUGCUAACGAUCAAAAAGAUAACGUUUAGGGUCUGUAGUUUAGACAUCUAACAUGAUUAUCACAGUGUGAGGAGUACCCCGUCGUUCCUCAGACCAUUCCUUUCAUAGGCUCUGAAGUGUACUGUUAGAUUACAAUAGAUGAUAGAUGUUGCUAAUAUAAUUGCAGGGCUUAUUUCUGUGUGAGGAUAUAAAAUAUUUUAGAAGCGCCGGGUGGGUGUUAAUAUUCAUUAUGGGUUUUUUUUUUUGGGGGGGGGGGGGGGUUUAAGAACUCCGUGGGGACCAACCUCAGUUGAACCCCAAGUUAUGACCACUGUACUUGGCUUUCAUAGCUUCGGAAACACUAUGACAUCUCUUACUACCGAGGUCCCCAUUGUCAUGUUCAUUCUCAUUGUCACCCCGGUUUCUUCAUUAACAGUCUAACAUUAACAGUGCAUGAGCCAGAUUAAACAUAACCCUGACAUUUUGUCAAUACAAACACAUGGAACUCAAUCACAUGAAUCAAUAUGGUCAAUAUUAUAACAGAGUUAAAGUGACAGCAACAAAGCUCACAUUUCAUUAUUGCACAACAUCUAUAUACAUAGGACAAGUUGUAAAGAGGACCGCUAUGCCAUUGAAAGACCUUAAAUCCUGAAAUGUAGCCUGGGUUUCCCAAUCCUCUCCACUCUGACAUUUCAGGUAUUUGUUUUAACCCUAUAAGUGUACAGCUGAUUCAAUUAGUCAACAAAUCCUCAAGCUUUGAAAAUGUGUACGGAACACCAGCAGAUCUUACAUCUGGAAGAAGGUUCAGAAACUCAGAUGUAACUAGAGCUUUACACUAGCAGAUCUUACAUCUGGGAUAGGGUUCAGAAACUCAGAUGUAACUAGAGCUUUACACUAGCAGAUCUUACAUCUUGCUCACUAAGCAAUAUAUGACCUAACCAAAGUUUUACAUCAGCAGGUCAUAUAUACACAUCUUCCUAACUAAUCAAUCUCUGACCUAACGAAAGCUUUACAUAUGGUGAUUUCUCAUCUUACUAAACAAUCUCUGAUAACGGCAACAUGUCUAAAGACCUUGUAAUCUCUGAUUGCGAGGGGGGGGUUUAAUGGAACAACAAUACAGAAAUAUAUGCCAUCAAAAGCGUUAUGAUCAAUCCACGUAUCUAUUUAGUUGUUCAUGUUUCUGAGUGUGACGCAUGUGAAAAAGUCUUGUGUCAUGUUAUUCAUAAUUGUAUAAUCCAGAAUACAGGUACAAUGUGUGUGUUGUAAAUAUGCUGUUUGUAUGAUAUAUGUGCCACACAGCAGCCAUUUCAACCAAAGCAAACUCAAGUAUACAUACAUCUUUUAUAUAGUUGACCGCAACUGGACAUGAACGUAUGAUUCAAACCUUUACCAGCUAGGCCUAGCAGGGCAUCUUACCUGUGUGUGGUUGUGUGUGGGUGUGUGGGUGUGUGUUUGUGUGUAUGCAUCUGCAUGAUCAUUUCGACCUUAAUGACCCCUACGUAGCUCUCGAAGUUCUGCAGUCACUUUUCGCAGCUCAGCCUCAAUCUCCAGAAGCUCCUGCAGAGACACAAAGUAGGUCAACACACACACACACACACAGAGACAGACACACACAGAGAGACAGACAGACACGAACAGAGACAGACACACAUACAUACACAAACAGGCUCAC
ensembl:lncRNA